rnacentral:lncRNA from 1 species
GUCCCCAGUCUCUACAAGGGCAGCUGGACUCAAUGCAGGUGACUGGAGUACAGUUUUGUCAGAAUUGGGCAACCUUGACUUAGCUUCUCUGGACCAACACAGGACUGUGAAGUGCGCGUCUACCUCGUGGCCCCGUCACCCCACACACACCCCGUAGCCUGAGACUGUCCAUGGAGCCACCUGGGGUCCCAGAACGCCAGAUGGACCACCCUGACUGGGAGACGGGCGUGUCCCCGGAAAGGGCGCUGCCUUUGCCGAGAAGACAGCACCCGUGGCCUGAACCUACUCAGGAAGGGCAUCGACGCAGGGAUGACUGCUGGCCUGAGAAUGCCUGGCCCAGGCUCAGACAGCCCCCGCAGUCCUUGGACAAGGCAGGUGGUCAUGGUGACUCAGCCCGCUGGCCAGGCCUGCUGAUUUCUCUUCACCUGUCCACCUGACAGCACAGGGGAGCGGGCUCAUCUGUCCAAGGCCACUGUCCAUUCUGGCCUCAUCUCCCAAGGCCGCCGGCCCCUCUGUGCAACAGGUGGACUGCAGGGAGAACCCUGAGUGAGGAGACACCCGUGUCCAGGUGGCAUCAAGCAUCCCAUAUGCACAAGACUCAAGUCAAAGCUGGGUCCACACCGGGAAGAGAAGGCUUCUGUCCUGCAGCUCAAAGACUGUGCUCCUUUCCAACCCCAGGCGAACGGGCUCACAGAUGAACGUGCUCACAGAUGAACGUGCUCACAGCGCAGGGGUGCUGGCUGCAGGAAGGACUGAGAAUUCCUUGUCAUCAGUGGCUGAGCCUCUCCUGUACCUUCACAC